rnacentral:rRNA from 1 species
GAUGAACGCUGGCGGCGUGCCUAAUACAUGCAAGUCGAGCGAACAGACGAGGAGCUUUCUCCUCUGACGGUAGCGGCGGACGGGUGAGUAACACGUGGAUAACCUACCUAUAAGACUGGGAUAACUUCGGGAAACCGGAGCUAAUACCGGAUAAUAUAUUGAACCGCAUGAUUCAAUAGUGAAAGACGGUUUUGCUGUCACUUAUAGAUGGAUCCGCGCCGCAUUAGCUAGUUGGUAAGGUAACGGCUUACCAAGGCAACGAUGCGUAGCCGACCUGAGAGGAUGAUCGGCCACACUGGAACUGAGACACGGUCCAGACUCCUACGGGAGGCAGCAGUAGGGAAUCUUCCGCAAUGGGCGAAAGCUUGACGGAGCAACGCCGCGUGAGUGAUGAAGGUCUUCGGAUCGUAAAACUCUGUUAUUAGGGAAGAACAAAUGUGUAAGUAACUAUGCACGUCUUGACGGUACCCAAUCAGAAAGCACCGGCUAACUACGUG